CCACUGAUUGUGGGCGCUCUCCAGGAGGGAGCCACAGGUCUGUGGCACAUCAGCCCGAGAAACGUGGGAGAGCAAUUUUGGUCAAUCCUCUCGUCCCGUGUUGCGCGCCUACGCCAAUCCGUUCCUCCGCUAGACUCGGGCAGAACCCUAGGCCUUUUUCCUCAAUCCACACAGCCGCCGCACACGUCCUCCUCCCUCCUGACUUCCUCACCGUAGCCGCAACCUGCUAAUCCACACGCCGGAGUAGCCCCUCGCUUGACGCCACAGCUGAUUGAGGAGGAUGCGAGGGGGAGGAGCAGGCGACGGCCUGGAUGAAGUGAGAGAAGCGGCCGGUGGCGCGGAUGAAGAAGAGGAGCACCCGGUGGCGCGGAUCAAGGGAGAUAGCACCGGCUGCAGCGGCGACGGCGACGCGCGGAUGGGAGAGAGUUCGUGCAUUGGGAGAGGGAGGUGAGGGCGCGGAGAGGCGGCUCGGCUCGGUCCAGUGGAACUCCUUGGCAAGAGAUGUUGCGCUGCCGAUGGCUGCAGCCAGAACUGAAUUGGCGUUCGCGACGCCUUUUGGUAUUUUAGUCCUCCUCACCUCUCUUUCUUCCCCUCUCUUCAUGUACUAGGUUUUAUUCCACUACUCUCUGCGUCACAGGUGUUCAUGAAUUUUACUUUCCAGUGGUUGGGUGUCGUCACAAAACUUGCGACUGUAGCAAGAUGUGCUUCUUGACAAAUUGCUAUUAGAUCGAGAGAGGAGAGGAACUGAUGAAUUUGGUGAAUAACAAGGUGGAGUGCAGUUGAGGUCUGGGACAACCAUCUUCUGUUGCUUUCAGGUGAAUACAAGUGGACAGUUUGUUGGUGUUGCUGAAAUGACUGGUCCUGUUGAUUUUGAAAAAACUCUAGAGUACUGGCAACAAGACAAGUGGAAUGGUUAAUUCUCUGUCAAGUGGCACAUUGUCAAGGAUGUUCCCAACAACAUUCUCAAGCACAUCAUCCUAGAGAACAACGAGGGCAAACUGGUCACAAACAGCCGUGACACACAGGAUAUCAACCUUGAGCAAGGUAUUCAUAUGCUUAAGAUAUUCAAAGAGCAUGUCAGCAAGACCUCUAUCAGGUUCAAAGUUCCCAGAUAGGCCGUUUCAGCAUGCUUGUAGGAGAUGCUGGUUCUGUAGCAGAUGCCUUGUUUUUUAUGCCGUUUUGAUGCCAGAUAGGCCGACAUUACUCUUUUUUCCUCCAUUCGGUUGCACCUACCAUCUCAAUAUCAUCAUCCACUACUUGCCUGGACCAACACCCAGCUACCAUCUUAUUUUGGGUUACUUUGCCUGCCUGGCUGCCAUGAUUGGUUGGAUGGUGAUGUUUGUAUCAGGGAGUUUGUUGACAAGAGCUCCACACUGACUACUAUCAGGUUCAAGGAGACUUGUUAUCACAGUCACUGCUCGGAUCCAGUUAGUUUGUUUCCAGCGACAGCAGAGAGAUGUACUCCAGCAGAGGAUCAAAUGAUCAGAGAGAGGAGAUGAACCUGCCCAGCAGCAGCCGAGCCCAGCAGCAGCCCCUGGACGUGGGAGAGGAGGAGCGCCUGCGCCUGGAUGUAGUGGCCGGAGGUGGGUACGCAGGUGGAGGUGGAGGAAUAACCUGUGCUCGCCUCCACCUGGGCGCGGGCCAGGAGGAGCCCCUGUGCGUGGGCGGCAGCAGAGUACCAGCUCUACUCCAGCGGCGGUAGCGCCUGGGCAGGGGGCAGGGGGCAGAGGAGGUGGAGGGC